GGUUCUGUGGUGUGGUAGUCAUCACAUCUGCUUAACAUGCAGAAAGUCCUGGGUUCAAUCCCCAGUAGAACCA